UGUUGCAGACAAGGAGGCCGGCACGCAGCCAUGGCCAGGCUCAGGAGCCCCCAGCAGACAUUCUCCGUGUUCCACUGCUCCUUGCUCCCGCAGCUGCCUCUGCUGGGCUUUCUCCUGGUAGCCCUGACACCCCAGAUGCUGACAGUGCUUAAGAACCACUGGAUUCAGGAAAGGAGAGGGAAGCCACAGCUGGAAUACAAAGAGGAAUGAAAGAGGAAAUCCCCAGGCCCUGCACUUCCAAGGGCUCACAUCGAGAUCUGGCAGCAAGUUCAGAGUGAUUUUUAGUAUGCAAUUUUUUUUUUUUACCUAUGUAGACCUUAGAAGCUAAACCCACCCACAUCUUGCCACAAGGCUCUUCAGAUCUCAGGCACUCAGCAAGGUGCCCAGCACAUCAUAGGUGCUCUGCAAAGGUUCAUGGAAUGAAAUGAGCUGAAGCUGAUACUAUUGCUUUGUUACUUCUGUGAUCAUUCUAAUUUCAUAGAGAAAGCGCAGUGCACCAUGAUCCACACUGAAUGGCUCCCUGCCUAAGGGAAGCUAUUGUUUGCAAAACGUCCUCAGCCAGGAAGCACAGCUCAGGUGGCAGCAGCUUCCCAAACUGCAAGUGCAGCACCAGAAGGCUUACAAAAACGCUCCUGGCAUGGCCGGACAAGGACCCGAUCACACAAACUCUGACGAGGUCAAGUGUCUCUCCAAGUCCCCACCGGGCAGCAGCGCCUGCAAAGCAACCCGUCACCCUCCAGAGGAGGCUCAUGGGAGCCCAUCAGCCCUGUCGGGACCUUGGGACCCUCCACUCAAACACCUGUUCUAAGAGCUUCCCUCAAGACCGGAUGAGAGAGGGUACUACAUGCAAGGCCAACAUGCCAAUGAAGUACCCUGUGCUGUUCAUUAAAACCUGAAAAUGGAGGUUGGGAAUUUAACAAUCCAAGUGCAAAGAAGAGAGGUUUUGGGGACAUUUUUAAUACAUCUAUAAUCUUUCAUUAACAGCUAGAAAUUUAGAUUGCUGUACCUAAGCGAUAGACAAUGAAACAGAAAAGGCAUUUCUGCAAGCCUCUCAGCUGUCAGCUCUGUGAGCAGCUGGGAGGGUCACUCUGUGGUCAUCUGUCACACUGGAGAAGGGCUGUUGAGCCAGGGGCACCUUAGGAGGCCAGGGUGCAGCACCAGAAGCACGGGCCCUGGCUCACCAGGGCUAGAAGCAGCAGCCAGCCCCAAACAGGCAGGAGGGUUUACAAAAGGACAAGAAAUUGAUGGAAUCACCCAAGUCUGCAAAGCCCUGCUCCUCCCUCCAGCUUCCCCAUCCCCACUCCUGGAUGGGCAAGGGCGGGGGGCAGGGACUAGAGGGGCUAAUGGAGCAAGUAAUGGAGUGACCUUCUGGGGUGAACACCAAUAUUAUGUCCCCUCCUACAGACAAGGGAACAAGCUCAGCAGGGUUGAGUCACUUGCUCCUGAGACACAGUCCCCUGCGUCGCUGGUGGUUCUGCUCAUCUUGGAUAUAGCCGUUUAUAGUGUUUGCUCCAGACUAUCUUUCCAAGAAUGUUUGAAUAGUGAACAACUUGGAAGAUAGAGGCUGUCUCCCUCCAGGGCGGAGGCAGGCUUGUUUCGACUCCAGUGUAAUAAAGAUAAUGUCCCCCUCAAGGGCAAAGGC